AUCUACGGCCAUACCACCCUGAACAUGCCUGAUCCCAUCUGAUCUCAGAAGCUAAGCAGGGUCGGGCCUGGUUAGUACUUGAAUGGAAAGAAAGUUUUAAAAAAAAGCAAACCACAAGGUGGGAGAAGAUA
rnacentral:rRNA from 1 species